CCUACGGGGGGCAGCAGUGAGGAAUAUUGGUCAAUGGGCGUAAGCCUGAACCAGCCAAGUCGCGUGAGGGAUGAAGGUUCUAUGGAUCGUAAACCUCUUUUAUAAGGGAAUAAAGGGUGGGACGUGUCCUAUUUUGGAUGUACCUUAUGAAUAAGGAUUGGCUAACACCGUGCCAGCCGCCGCGGUAAUACGGAGGGUCCGAGCGUUAUCCGGGAUUAUUGGGGUUAAAGGGUGCGUAGGCGGCCUUUUAAGUCAGCGGGGAAAGUCUGUGGCUUAACCAUAGAAUUGCCGUUGAAACUGGGGGUCUUGAGUAUGUUUGAGGCAGGCGGAAUGCGUGGUGUAGCGGUGAAAUGCUUAGAUAUCACGCAGAACCCCGAUUGCGAAGGCAGCCUGCC
rnacentral:rRNA from 1 species